rnacentral:tRNA from 1 species
UUGCCUGUAGGUAAGCUGUAAAGCACUCAAGUCAUAAUUGAAUGCUCGCUGGUUAGAUCCCUGUCAGGCGCGCCA